rnacentral:rRNA from 1 species
UACGAAGGGGACUAGCGUUGUUCGGAAUCACUGGGCGUAAAGCGCACGUAGGCGGAUUUGUAAGUCAGGGGUGAAAUCCCGGGGCUCAACCUCGGAACUGCCUUUGAUACUGCGAGUCUUGAGUCCGAUAGAGGUGGGUGGAAUUCCUAGUGUAGAGGUGAAAUUCGUAGAUAUUAGGAGGAACACCGGUGGCGAAGGCGGCUAUCUGGACGACAACUGACGCUGAGGCGCGAAAGCACGGGGAUCAAACAGG